GUAACACGUAGCUAAUCUAACCUAAAGCCCAGAAUACCCUCGCGAAAGCGAGGCUAAGACUGGGUAGGGCAUGAUUUCUGGAAUGAGUUAUGCUUUAAACGCAAGGCUUUAGGAUGAGGCUGCGGCUGAUUAGGUAGUUGGCGGGGUAAACGCCCACCAAGCCUAUUAUCAGUAGGGGCUCUUAGCGGAGUUGCCCCGAGAAGGACUCUGAGACACAAGUCCUAGCUCUACGGAGUGCAGCAGGCGCGAAAAUUCUGCAAUGCCCGCAAGGGUGACAGAGCAAGCCAGAGUGUCUUCUCGCAAGAGAAGACUUUUCUCUAUUGUAAAAAGACAGAGGAAUAAGGACUGGGCAAGACUGGUGCCAGCCGCCGCGGUAAUCCCAGCAGUCCAAGUCGCAGCCACAAGUAUUGGGUCUAAAACAUUCGUAGCUUGUUCAGAAAGUCUCCUGUGAAAUCAUUCUGCUUAACAGAAUGGCGUGCAGGAGAUACUUCUGGGCUUGAGACCGGGAGGCGUGAGAGGUACAUCUGAAGUAGUAGUAAAAUAUGUUAAUCUUAGAUGGACCAACAAUGGCGAAGGCAUCUCACGAGAACGGAUCUGACGGUGAGGAAUGAAGGCUAGGGGCGCGAAACGGAUUAGAUACCCGUGUAGUCCUAGCAGUAAACACUGCGUACUAAACAUCGUGCUCUCCUCGAGAGAGUGCGGUGCUGUAGGGAAGCCGUAGAGUACGCUACCUGGGAAGUAUAGCCGCAAG
rnacentral:rRNA from 1 species